AUGACAUUGACAUUGCCCAUAUAUAGACGGGAAGGUGAAGAAACCAGAGACGAGAAAAAUUAGCGCUUCUAGUCUUCUACUCUGAAGAUUGAAGAACACCAUCGUCAGCAAUGAGCAACUCAGCAGCCGGCGCCGCUGACCCCAGCAACGACAAUAAGCCGUCAUUGUAUUCCGGCGGUAACCAUCUCGCCCUCCAUCGGUUUGUCCAGGCCAUGCUUUUACUUGUGGGAGCAGCCGCCUUAAUAGGCCUGCUUCUUUAUAACUCAGCCUACCCUUUCCGGUUUCUUCCCGGAUCUUAUCAUCGUGCCUCUGAAUCACCAUCUCCGUUCCUGGCAAAAGUUGAGUUGGAUAGAGUUCUAAGAAAAGCAUCAAUGGAGGACAGUACCGUUAUCUUGACUACUUUGAAUGAGGCAUGGGCAGAACCCGGGUCUAUGCUUGAUCUCUUUCUGGAGAGUUUUCGAAUUGGGAAUGGAACAAAGAGGCUUUUGAAUCAUAUGGUCAUAAUAUGCUUGGACCGCAAGGCAUAUGCCCGUUGCUUAGCUUUACACUCUCACUGUUAUUAUCUCGACAGCAAAGGAGCCAAUUUUUCACGUGAGGCUUUCUUCAUGACUCCAGCAUACUUGGAGAUGAUGUGGGGAAGAAUUCAUCUUCUGGCUUCUAUCCUUGAGAUGGGCUACAACUUUGUUUUCACGGAUACUGAUGUGAUGUGGCUUCAAGAUCCAUUUCAACGGUUCUAUUCAGAUGCUGAUUUCCAAAUUGCUUGUGAUAAAUUCUUUGGGAACUCUUAUAAUGUAAAAAACAAACCAAAUGGAGGAUUCAACUACGUAAAGUCUAACAGUCGGACGGUUGAAUUUUACAAGUUUUGGUACAAGUCAAGAGAAGCAUAUCCAGGGAAGCAUGAUCAAGAUGUACUUAACAAGAUCAAGGGUGAUCCAUUCAUCACGGAGAUUGGACUGAAAAUGAGGUUCCUUGAUACUGCUUACUUUGGUGGGUUCUGUGAGAUUAGUAGAGAUUUAAACCUAGUUUGUACAAUGCAUGCAAACUGUUGCAUUGGCCUUGAGAACAAAGUUUAUGACCUUAGAAUUUUGCUCGAGGAUUGGAGCAAAUUUAUGUCACUGCCCCCAAGUAUGAAGGCAUCACCACCAUCCUCAUGGACAGUUCCACAAAAAUGCAGGAAUUCCUUUGGUAAAUUACCAAAGAAGAACGGCAGAAGGUAAUCAUAAAUGGCAAUAUUUGCACACUUUUAAGGGUACGUUCCGAUCAUAUAAAUCCAGAAGCAUCCAUAAAGAAGGAUCUAUGUACACAUCCUGGUUCUUUUGGAGACAUGUGUAUACUUUGUGGGCAAAGGUUGGCUGAGGAAUCUGGUGUUACAUUUGGGUAUAUUCACAAGGUAUACUUCUUCAAGAUGAUUGGUUGGCGGAAUUCUGAGUUUUGGUUAUCUUUGCUGCAUAUUGAAAGAGAAUAUUUGUAAUACUUCUGAAACUUCUUAUAUUGAGGCAUCAUACAGCUUAUAUAUAUUCACAAGUUACCGAUCCCCUUAUA